AUAGCGUAUAUUAAAGUUGUUGCAGUUAAAAAGCUCGUAGUUGAAUUUCGAACCUGGCUGGGCGGUCCGCUUCACGGCGUGUACUGUCUGGCCGUGUCCUCCUUCUUGGUGAGCCGGCGUGUCCUUUAUUGGAUGCGUCGGGGAACCAGGACUUUUACCUUGAGAAAAUUAGAGUGUUCAAAGCAGGCCUAUGCCCGAAUACAUUAGCAUGGAAUAAUAAAAUAGGACGUGCGGUUCUAUUUUGUUGGUUUCUAGAGUCGCCGUAAUGAUUAAUAGGGAUAGUUGGGGGCAUUGGUAUUGAGUCGCUAGAGGUGAAAUUCUUGGAUUGACUCAAGACCAACUAUUG
rnacentral:rRNA from 1 species